rnacentral:rRNA from 1 species
UACAGAGGGUGCGAGCGUUAAUCGGAAUUACUGGGCGUAAAGCGCACGUAGGUGGCGACGUAAGUCGGGUGUGAAAGCCCGGCUCAACCUGGAAUUGCAUUCGAGACUGCAUUGCUGGAGUACGGAAGAGGAGGGCGGAAUUCCCGGUGUAGCGGUGAAAUGCGUAGAUAUCGGAGGAACAUCAGUGGCGAAGGCGGCCCUCUGGUCCAGUACUGACGCUCAUGCACGAAAGCGUGGGAGCAACAGG